UUCAUCUGAAGUACGUACAAACUAGUUUUAAGUUAUAUAAAAUAAAUGUAAUGGAGUUAAAAUGGUGAGAGGAAGUUAACAAGGAUCUACGUAAGCGGUUGCUGCCAUGGAUGUAGGCUACCGGUAUACGACCGACCCUUCACUGUCUAUGGGCCGAGCACAAGGAAUUCCAUGAAAAGGUCCGAAUCCGAAAAUAAUUAUAUCUAUGGGGUAGUUAGCUCAUGAAACAGCGCCCCCAUCACGUAACUGUUGGUAAAUGUAAUCCAGUCGUGUUUGUCGAAAGAUGGUAACGAAGUCUACUGAAUAGCUAGCAGCGCUGGAGAAAUGAGAUGGGGAUUUCUGGCAACAACCGAAAUGAACGGCAAUAUAUGGCAUGGAUACUUCAUUUCUAUGACAGAAAGGAGAAUGGACUUCGUCGUCAAAUAAUGACUUUGGUAUCCAUUGCCCAAUACCAAUCGAAUGAUCACUUUGGAUUACAACACACUGUUCCUGUGGAAACACAGAGAGAGUAGUGAGAAAAAGAGAAAACUGUGUAUCAACCGCUCUGCUGAGAAGGUGAUUGACUGCAAUCUGCUGUCUCUCCAGGACCUGUAUGCCUCCAGGAUGCUGAGGCGGGCAGGAAAGAUUGUAGCCGAUCCCUCUCACCCAGGACACAAACUGUGUGAACCCCUACCCUCCGGCAGGAGGCCGCGGUCCAUCAGGACCAAAGCUUCACGCCAAAAAAACUGUAUUUUCCCCUCAGCAGUCAGCCUUUUUAACCCUUGUGUUGUCAAGUGGGACUGCUUGGGUUGGUUGAAGUCACGGGAAACUCCGGUUUUCGUCAAAUUUGCGGAAAAGUUACGGUGAUUGGUCAAAAUUGCGAGUCGCACCAAAUUCACGGUGAUUGGUUGAAUUCUG